GACGAACGCUGACGGUGUGCUUUAGACAUGCAAGUCGAACGAGAAAGCCCUUCGGGGUGAGUACAGUGGCGAACGGGUGAGUAACACGUGGGCAACCUGCCCCUCGCAGGGGGACAACCGGGGGAAACUCCGGCUAAUACCCCGUACGCUUGUCGGGCCGCAUGGCACCGGCAAGGAAAGGUAGCUUCGGCCAUCCGGCGAGGGAUGGGCCCGCGGUCCAUUAGCUAGUUGGUGGGGUAACGGCCCACCAAGGCGACGAUGGAUAGCUGGUCUGAGAGGAUGAUCAGCCACACUGGGACUGAGACACGGCCCAGACUCCUACGGGAGGCAGCAGUCGGGAAUCUUGCGCAAUGGGCGAAAGCCUGACGCAGCAACACCGUGUGGGCGACGAAGGCCUUCGGGUCGUAAAGCCCUGUUGUUGGGGACGAAGGGCGAAGGGUUAAUAGCCCCUAGCUUGACGGUACCCUUCGAGGAAGCCCCGGCUAACUACGUGCCAGCAGCCGCAGUAAAAC
rnacentral:rRNA from 1 species